UUCCCCUCGGACUGUCUCUCCGGCUGCUGAUUGCACCCGGACGUUCAGUGGCGGGUUCAUUUCCGGAUUGCUGGAGGCUGAGGUAAAGUGAAAGGUGAGGAGAGACCGGUUCCGGUGGAGCGGCCGAGUCCGGCUCAGUCCGGCCAGGCCGCGGUCUAGCAGAAAGAAGAAAUCACCCAAGACAACAGAGCAGAUUGCUGAGGAUCGUGAAAUGUACCAUGUUGUCUAGUUUCCUGAGGUGUGCUGCUGGGCCAGUUAUUUGCUGUGCCAAUUGCUGGAGUCAGCGUAAGUGUGCUGUUCGGAUUGUAAAGACCUAUAAAGUCUUCAGGAAGAAGCUGAGCACUACAACAUCCUUAUUAAUAAAAACAGAACAGGUUUUCACCAGAGCUGGAAAUUUUGCAGAAAGACUUGCAAUUGUGGAUCAUAAUGGUCGUUACACAUACAGAGACCUGUAUCUAUACAGUCUGGCCCUUUCAAGAAAGAUUCGUUGUGCAUUAGGAUGUCUUGAUGGUGACAUCAAGGAGCAAAGAAUUUCAAUCCUGUGCCCUAAUGAUGUCUCGUAUGUUGUUGCUCAGUGGGCAUCUUGGAUGUCUGGUGGGGUGGCUGUGCCCCUGGGCAAAAAGCAUCCAGCUCCAGAACUCAAGUAUGUUGUUCAGGAUUCUCAGAGCACAUUAAUCAUUGUGGAGAAGAAUUAUUUAGAGUUAAUGACACCAGUCGCUGACAGUCUCGGUGUGAAGUGCCUUCAGUUACCGGGUUACGGUCAGUUCCAAGAAUCUUCUGAUAUGGGACAGCUGGAAAAAUGUGGUGCUGCCCCUGUGCCAGAUGCUGGCUUUGUUGUCACAGACUGGAAAGAUAGAGGAGCCAUGAUACUGUACACGAGUGGAACAACAGGGCGCCCGAAAGGAGUCCUCAUCACCCAUGGAAUACUGUACCAUCAGAUUACCAGCCUUGUGAAACAAUGGGAAUGGAGCAAGGAUGAUGUUAUUCUCCAUGUCUUACCGCUACAUCACCUCCAUGGAAUUCUCAAUAAACUGCUAUGCCCUCUCUGGGUGGGCGCGACCUGUGUGAUGCUGCCAGAAUUCAGUGCCCAGCAGGUUUGGGAGUACCUGCUGAAAACUAAUUGCCCAGAAGUUCCUCGGGUCAACAUGUUCAUGGCAGUGCCUACUAUAUAUGUCAAACUCAUUGAAUACCAUGCCAAGUACUUCCGACAGAGCCAUGUAAAGGACUUUAUACACAGUAUGUGCCAGAGCAACAUCAGGUUAAUGGUUUCAGGAUCUGCUGCUCUUCCUGAACCAAUACGGAAGAAAUGGAAAGAAAUCAGUGGCCACACAUUGUUAGAGCGAUAUGGAAUGACUGAAGUAGGAAUGGUUCUGUCCAAUCCAGUUCAUGGAGUCCGUGUGCCAGGAGCUGUUGGGACCCCAUUGCCUGGAAUGGAGGUGCGCAUUGUGAUGGAGAACCCUACAAGGAAUCAAUCUUCCUACAAUGUCAUUGCUGAGGGGAACAGUAGAGAAACUAAGGUGAAGCCUGGAAUGGAAGGCAAGGAUGGAGAGCUGCUGGUUAAAGGAAAUUCUGUGUUUCGAGAAUAUUGGAACAGAACGAAAGAAACACAGGAAUCGUUUACAUUGGAUGGCUGGUUCAAGACAGUUUUCUCUUUCAGAAGUUACUGGGUAACCUGCUGAACAUUUCCAGCAUGAGCAACACUUGUUUUCCUACCCACCAAUUUAAAAUGUCAGAAGUCUGGAAUCCCAGUUCAGUUGGAAAAGAUAUUGAGAUAUGAGAGCUAUGAGGACAUGUAGAAUUGAAAGGGGACACGGUGUGUUAUAGGGACGGGGUUUAUUGGAUCCUGGGUCGCAGCUCUGUCGAU